rnacentral:rRNA from 1 species
UACGUAGGGUGCGAGCGUUGUCCGGAAUUAUUGGGCGUAAAGGGCUCGUAGGCGGUUUGUCGCGUCGGGAGUGAAAUCCACUGGCUUAACUUGGUGGCUUGCUUUCGAUACGGGCAGGACUGGAGGUAUGCAGGGGAGAACGGAAUUCCUGGUGUAGCGGUGAAAUGCGCAGAUAUCAGGAGGAACACCGGUGGCGAAGGCGGUUCUCUGGGCAUGUCCUGACGCUGAGGAGCGAAAGUGUGGGGAGCGAACAGG